rnacentral:rRNA from 1 species
GAUGAACGCUAGCUACAGGCUUAACACAUGCAAGUCGAGGGGAAACGACAUCGAAAGCUUGCUUUUGAUGGGCGUCGACCGGCGCACGGGUGAGUAACGCGUAUCCAACCUGCCCAUCACUUGGGGAUAACCUUGCGAAAGUAAGACUAAUACCCAAUGAUAUCUCUAGAAGACAUCUGAAAGAGAUUAAAGAUUUAUCGGUGAUGGAUGGGGAUGCGUCUGAUUAGCUUGUUGGCGGGGUAACGGCCCACCAAGGCAACGAUCAGUAGGGGUUCUGAGAGGAAGGUCCACCACAUUGGAACUGAGACACGGUCCAAACUCCUACGGGAGGCAGCAGUGAGGAAUAUUGGGCAAUGGGCGAGAGCCUGAACCAGCCAAGUAGCGUGCAGGAAGACGGCCCUAUGGGUUGUAAACUGCUUUUAUAAGGGAAUAAAGUGAGAGUCGUGACUCUUUUUGUAUGUACCUUAUGAAUAAGGACCGGCUAAUUCCGUG